rnacentral:rRNA from 1 species
ACAUGCCUACAACAUUGCGUUAAUGCACCAAACCUCAUUAGAACUCUGCAGUUAAGUGCACUUGGGAUAGAGUAAUACUGGUAUGGGUGAUCAUCUCGGAAGUGCUAGUGUUUUACAUGCC